GACGAACGCUGGCGGCGCGCUUAACACAUGCAAGUCGAACGGAAAGGCCUGCUUUCCCUUGUGGAUUGCGGGUACUCGAGUGGCGAACGGGUGAGUAACACGUGAGUGAUCUGCCCCCAACUUGGGUAUAAGCCUGGGAAACUGGGUCUAAUUCCCGAUAGGACUGCAGGGUGGUGCCUGUGGUGGAAAACGAUUUUCUAGUGGUUGGGGAUGAGCUCGCGGCCUAUCAGCUUGUUGGUGGGGUAAUGGCCUACCAAGGCGGCGACGGGUAGCCGGCCUGAGAGGGUGCACCGCCGCAUUGGGACUGGGAUACGGCCCAGACGCCUACGGGAGGCAGCAGUGGGGAAUAAUGCACCAUGGGCGGAAGCCUGAUGCAGCGACGCCGCGUGGGGGAUGACGGCCUUCGGGUUGUAAACUCCUUUCGACCGCGAGGAAGCCACCUGGUUGGAAGGGUGGUGACGGUAGUGGUAGAAGAAGCACCGGCUAACUACGUG
rnacentral:rRNA from 1 species